UACGUAGGGGGCAAGCGCUACCCGGAAUCACUAGGCGUAAAGCGCAGGCAGGAGGUUUAGUAAGUCUGUUGUGAAAGCUCCCGGCUUAACUGGGAGAGGUCAACGGAAACUGCUAGGCUAGAGUGCGGUAGAGGUAGCUGGAAUUCCCGGUGUAGCGGUGAAAUGCGUAGAUAUCGGGAGGAAUACCUAUGGCGAAAGCAGGCUACUGGACCGUCACUGACUCUGAUCUGCGAAAGCUAGGGGAGCAAACAGG
rnacentral:rRNA from 1 species